UACGUAGGUGGCGAGCGUUAUCCGGAAUCAUUGGGCGUAAAGGGUACGCAGGCGGAUAAGCAAGUUAGAAGUGAAAGCCUAUAGCUCAACUAUAGUAAGCUUUUAAAACUGCUAAUCUUGAGGUAUGGAAGGGAAAGUGGAAUUCCUAGUGUAGCGGUGAAAUGCGCAGAUAUUAGGAGGAAUACCGGUGGCGAAGGCGACUUUCUGGGCAUAAACUGACGCUGAGGUACGAAAGCGUGGGUAGCAAACAGG
rnacentral:rRNA from 1 species